GAUGAACGCUGGCGGCGUGCCUAAUACAUGCAAGUCGAGCGAACAGAUGAGGAGCUUGCUCCUCUGACGUUAGCGGCGGACGGGUGAGUAACACGUGGAUAACCUACCUAUAAGACUGGGAUAACUUCGGGAAACCGGAGCUAAUACCGGAUAAUAUAUUGAACCGCAUGGUUCAAUAGUGAAAGACGGUUUUGCUGUCACUUAUAGAUGGAUCCGCGCCGCAUUAGCUAGUUGGUAAGGUAACGGCUUACCAAGGCAACGAUGCGUAGCCGACCUGAGAGGGUGAUCGGCCACACUGGAACUGAGAACCGGUCCAGACUCCUACGGGAGGCAGCAGUAGGGAAUCUUCCGCAAUGGGCGAAAGCCUGACGGAGCAACGCCGCGUGAGUGAUGAAGGUCUUCGGAUCGUAAAACUCUGUUAUUAGGGAAGAACAAAUGUGUAAGUAACUAUGCACGUCUUGACGGUACCUAAGCAGAAAGCCACGGCUAACUACGU
rnacentral:rRNA from 1 species